AACGAACGCUGGCGGCAGGCCUAACACAUGCAAGUCGAGCGCCCCAGCGAUGGGGAGCGGCGGACGGGUGAGUAACGCGUGGGAACGUACCCUUUGCUACGGAAUAGCCUCGGGAAACUGGGAGUAAUACCGUAUGUGCCCUUCGGGGGAAAGAUUUAUCGGCAAAGGAUCGGCCCGCGUUGGAUUAGGUAGUUGGUGGGGUAAUGGCCUACCAAGCCGACGAUCCAUAGCUGGUUUGAGAGGAUGAUCAGCCACACUGGGACUGAGACACGGCCCAGACUCCUACGGGAGGCAGCAGUGGGGAAUCUUAGACAAUGGGCGCAAGCCUGAUCUAGCCAUGCCGCGUGAGCGAUGAAGGCCUUAGGGUUGUAAAGCUCUUUCAGGGGGGAAGAUAAUGACUGUACCCCCAGAAGAAGCCCCGGCUAACUCCGUGCCAGCAGCCGCGGUAAAGUACAGUGU
rnacentral:rRNA from 1 species